rnacentral:rRNA from 1 species
UACGAAGGGUGCAAGCGUUGUUCGGAAUUACUGGGCGUAAAGAGCGCGUAGGCGGUCUAUUAAGUCAGGCGUGAAAGUCCCGGGCUCAACCUGGGAAUUGCGUUUGAUACUGGUAGGCUUGAGAUUCAGAGAGGUGAGUGGAAUUCCUAGUGUAGCAGUGAGAUGCGUAGAUAUUAGGAGGAACAUCAGUGGCGAAGGCGGCUCACUGGCUGAAUACUGACGCUAAGGCGCGAAAGCGUGGGGAGCAAACAGG